GCCCCCUUAGCGCAGAGGAUAGCGCAACUGCCUUCUAAGCAGUGGGUCGCAGGUUCGAAUCCUGCAGGGGGCGC
rnacentral:tRNA from 1 species